GGGGUGAGCACUGCUGCCGGACGGAGAGCGGCUCAGGGAGAGGAGCGGUUCCCGUGGAGAUGGGCUGCUGGACACGCGUUUUUGUUCAGGACCUGGGCCUAUGAUAUCAGAGGUUGGAUUUGCAAGGUUGUGAAUAUUUUUGGCUCAAUUGUCUUUUACCGCAUUCUCCUGAAGAAAAUGGAUACUCUUGGCUUGGAUGGAAGUCCUCUUUGUUGGGUGAAAAACUGGUUGGAGUCCGGAGAAUGGCAUUUAAUUUUCAGGUUAUAGUAUAUGGAUCAGAACUAAGGAAAAUCAACGCUUCUGAAAUUAAAAUUCCACGUCACCUACAUUUCUUAAAAAAGCCACUAAGAAUACAGAAUGAAGUUAUUUUGAUCCACAUUUAAGUCAAUUGGCACAAGGACUCGUGUUGAGGAAAAAUGGUACUGUCUCAUUUAGCUGAGAAAGAUAAAUGUCAAGGACACCCUGUACUGGGAUCACAAAUCCCUCAUGAUUCAUACGAUGRCAUAUGGGGUCACAGCUUUUCACAGCAAUAGGAGCAUUGAUACUGUAACAGGUUAAGAGAAGAUGAUUUUUACAAUGAGGAAAAGGAAGGAUGGGCAUCUGUUAGUGUAGCCAAAGGCUAUACUGCUGCAGAUUCCUGGAUGAAAUCCUACAUAAUCUAUUCCACAAGAUACAGGAUUAGGUGUCAGUAUCAUUAAAUUUUUCUUUGAUUUCUUUUUGCCAUACUCCUCUUACUUCUACUGUGCCCCGUGCUGCUGGGGUUUGACCAUAUCAUACAAGGAUUCUGUGUUGCUAAGUGAGAUGCUUAGCUUCUUCCUUGAAGAAGGAAAGGGGUGUUUACUAUAGAAAUUAUGCAGCCUCCUCUGCCUCAAGCACAGUUUCAGAAAACAUUAG